rnacentral:misc_RNA from 1 species
GAUGAAGAACGUAGCGAAAUGCGAUAAGUAAUGUGAAUUGCAGAAUUCAGUGAAUCAUCGAAUCUUUGAACGCACAUUGCGCCCCUUGGUAUUCCGGGGGGCAUGCCUGUUCGAGCGUCAUUAUAACCCUCAAGCCUAGCUUGGUGUUGGAGCAUGCUACCUAAGCAGCUCUUAAAAUCAGUGGCAGUGCCCUUCGGCUCUAAGCGUAGUAACUUCUCUCGCUAUGGAACCCGGAGGGUACGCGCCAGAACCCCCAACUUUCUAUGGUUGACCUCGGAUCAGGUAGGGAUACCCGCUGAACUUAAGCGUAUCAAUAAGCGGAGGA